CUGGUCUCAAGCUCCUGACCUCAAGCGAUCUGCCUGUCUCGGCCUCCCAAAGUGCUGGGAUUACAGGCGUGAACCACCGCGCCUGGCCAGAUUCAUCACUUUUCAAAACUAUGUUUCGUGUGCUAUUAAUAAAAAUCUUAAUUUAAUCCCUUAUUUAAGGCACUGGUACCACUUUGAAGAGGGAAUUGCCAAAUACACUAGGAGGAAUUCAUACCGUUUUUAUGUCCUUCUAAAUGCAAAGUGGAUCAUAACAUUAUAAGAUUUAUGAAGAAAUAUUCAUUCUGUUUUUUAAAGUUUCUUCUAAGUUCACAAGCACGAUGACCUCUUGUUUCAUAAUUUAUGGUAAUGAAUUCACGUUGUAGCUCAUUUUGUAAUACAUUCUCUUAGAAAAAUUACUUGACCUGGGGUGUUAAAAUGGAUAUGUACUGAGAUGACAAGUUUGAAAGCCUUUCAAGAGCUCUGUUCACAAGUUAUCAGAGGAAUGAAGGCGACAUUUCAGAGUCCUUUAAUUAUGUCAGAUGAUGUGAUAAGGAAAAUAAUAUCCUAACUGACAAAUCAAAAUCAUACGUUGGGAUGAAGUCAGUUACAUACACAAUAGAUUCCUUUCUCUUGAAAGCGAUGGUCUGGACACAUUUCAGUAACUUUCUUCUUUAGCCACAAACAGUGAACCACAGAGAAAGCAUGAAGUCUGCAUUUCUGCAUGGGGCAUUUUCAAAAUGCUGACUUGCUGCCAUGGAAGGUCGCCCAGCGUACUGAGCAAAGUGAAAAAAAUGCAAGUUGCACAACAAUGCGUGCAGUGUGACACCAUUCACAGGGGAAAACAGAUAUGAUAAGAUGUAUUAUGACCUGAUACAAUACUAUACUAUAUUAUGUUAUGUAGAAGGACAAUUCUGAAAAGACCCAAAGGAAACAGUUAAUAAUUGUUGCUUUUGGGAAGAAUAAAUUGGGGAUGAUGGUGUCUUUUGCAUAUUAUAUUUCAAAAGGUUUUAUGUUAGCAAUAUUAAAAAUAUUAAAAUGAACGAGUAAAGAAAAUAGAAAAGAAAAGAGAGUUGCCACAUCGUAAAGAAUAGCAGGUAAGGAGGCUCGGUUUGUCCAGCGGGAAUGGACCCCAGCAUCCCUCACUUGGUCAUUCAUCAGCGAUUAGUUGACUCCUUUGUAUGUGAACAUCCUGAUGUACUGUCUCAUCUCCUUUGAUACCAUACACCCUGACAGGGUGUCCAAUUGAUUUCAUGCAGGGCAGCAACUCAUACACAGGUUGGACAAGCUUGAUUAGCUCAGUUGGUGUGAGAGAACCAACAGCAAAAAAUAAACCCUGGAGAAGUUCAGUUUUGACCUUCUUGCUCCAUUGUCCUGCUAAUGCGGAAUAUUGAAAACAUCUAUUCUGUGAGAUUUGUAGAAUACAGUUUGAUUUAUUUUACUUUACGAUUCAAACUGUAUGCUUUCACUUUUUAAAAGGACCACAUAUCCAUGUGGAAAGAGAAACAUCUAUUUUCUAGACAUUUUAAACCUUCUCUGAGCUGUCAUUUUAUUCUUCAGAGUCUACCUUCCUUCAGCUGGAGAUCUGAUGUGCUGGUAGAGAAUCAAUGGUGGUAUAUUUGAAAAAUCAAUGCUAAUGGGUUCCAACAUCAAAUCAAAAGUUGGAGGAAGAGGACCACAGGAAGGACUGCUGACAUCCUCUCAAUGCAGGAAAAGAUUGUGAGCUCCUUGAUCCCUAAGAGAAAAUUGGUUGAAGGAAUGAAAGGACAAAAAGAUAAAAGGAAAAAGAAAUCAGUUGCUCAUGUGUGUUGAGGACUUGUUUAAGGCCAUUACCAUUUAACUAGCUAUUCACUGCUCUUCCUGAUUCAUGGACAUUCCAAUUAAAGAGCUGGAUCCUUUGAGAAAUCUUCAAUACCAAUAUCCAUGGUCAGGAACAGUGCUCAUUUAGCAGAAAGGAGGUCAACUCCACCAGAACUUAUGAAAUCUGCAGAGCAAGGAAUAACUCAGAGAAUCUUGCAGAUGAACUUGCAUUUCUUAUCAUGUGAUAAACAAAGAAACUUUAAUUUAUCCAUCGUAAAUCAGGGUCUUGGAAAUAAAGCAUGGGGAAAUGGAUGUCUAUAGGAGCCCUCUGCAGAAAUGUUGCCCCUUGACUCCAAGCUCAGAGAGGCUUGUAUUUGAAGAUGUCAGCAGCCUCCCGCUCCACAAAUGAAUCAUGAGAAGGAGGGAAUGAAGGUGGUUGAAGUAGGUGUGGGCCUUUCAUCCUCUACAGUAUGCCUAUCGUGAGUAUCUGAUGUUGUUAUGUGCACUUAUGUGUACUUGCACACAUGCACCCAUCUAAAACAACAUUUUCUGUUGGGAGUUUCAAAAGAAAAAAGUGAAGCUGUUACUGAAGCCCCAGAAGAAAAGAUUUGCAUAAAUGGGGAUGGAUUUCUUGCAAUCUCCCCUGGUGCUGCUUGUCCCAGUCCUUGCCCCACCCACCUACUACACACACAGGAACAGCUCUUCUCUGCAAGAAAUGCUAGACAGGAGGAAGUGCCCUGGCCUUGACCUCCUGCUUUCACAGCAUCACACAUCAGUGGUGGUGAGUGCCGUGGAGGAAGCAUUGCAUGCAUAACUGAGUUAGCAAAUAGGAAAGAGGGCUUUCAGAGAGUAGUGGGGAGAAGAGGAAGGGUGGCAGAAAGUAUUGCUGCAAGAACUAAGCUCUAGGCCUGGCACUGCCACCAUAUCUGAGCAAGUCCUUAUGCUUCUCUACACCUUGAUUUCUUCAAUGGCAAACUGGGGAGAUUCUGGGUAACAAGAUAAGGCAUGAUGUCUGCUACCACAUGGAAAUAAGAAGGAGCACAAAAGCCAUUUUUCCAGCUCCUCCAGGGUUUGUCCCACCACCACCACCAGCUACCAGGGAGACUGUGCCCUGAAUUCCUUCUUUUUUUCCCAUAGAUGUUCAACAGCCUCCUCCACACUCAGAGUGUCUCAUUUCCAGAAGACUCAUGACUCCUGCCAUGCUGUCCCAUCUAUGAAUAGAGAAAAGGAACAUUUACUUGGUACUCCAAAACUGUGGGGAUCACAACGCAAAGACCACCUGAAAGAGUGUCACAAAGAAAAAUACACCUGUAAAAGGCUACUAACCAGCUAUCAUCCUAUCAACAGCCGCACACUCAUUCACUCAUUUACUUGUUCAACAAAUAUUUAUGUCGAAGUUAAUCACUUACUCAACAAAUAAUUAUACUGCCAGGAUCUGGAGGUACAAGAGUAAAUAAAGUAUAGAAAUUCCUUUUUUGCUGUUUAGUUUAGUAGGAGAUACAAGUAAUAAAGCAACUUUAAAAGCACUAUAAUUAGAUUGCCUUGGAUAGAAAGUUAUAAAGUACUAUUAUAGUGCACAUCAUGGUGGGGGCAGUGGGUUGCUCCUAGUCUGUCCAAAGGAAGGUGGAAGGGUGAGCAGCAGAAGUGAUCAGGGAAAGAAGAGGUGGGGUUGGGUCUACAGAGAGUGUUCCAGGCAAGGAACAGCCGGGUGAGGCCUGAAGGUGAGAGUGAGAGAGGACAGGUGGGUUGCAACAGAGAUUGUUUGAGGACAAGUGUGUGGAAGCGGGGAAGCCUGAAUAAAGUGGUGGUAAUAGUGUACUUCGGUAGAUUCUUGGGCAAGAGCAUGACCUUACAAAUAUACUUUAGGAAAAAAAAAACAGUCUGUUUUCUAUAUUCAGCAUGCAUUGGAAGUGACAGAGACCAGAGGUAGGGAGAAGGGCAAGGGGAUUUUAGUAGUAAUGAGGACAAGGACCAGAGUGCUAUCCCUGAAAACAGAGAAUAAAGAACAGGUAGAGCAAAGACAUGGAAUCAACCCAAAUGCCCAUCAAUGACAGACUGGAUAAAGAAAAUGUGGGACAUAUUCACCAUGGAAUACUAUGCAGCCACAAAAAGGAAUGAGAUCACAUCCAUUGCAGGGACAUGGAUGGAGCUGCAAGCCAUUAUCCUCAGCAAACUAACACAGGAACAGAAAAUCAAACACCGUAUGUUCUCACUCGUAAGUGGGAGCUGAACAAUGAGAACACCUGGACACAGGGAGGGGAACAACACACACUGGGGCCUGUUGGAGGGUGGGGUAGGGGGAGAGCAUCAAGAUAAAUAGUUAAUGCACACGGGACUUAAUACCUAGGUGAUGGGUUGAUCGUGCAGCAAACCACCAU
rnacentral:lncRNA from 10 species